UGUCAAUGGCUUCGUACACGCAAUGGGUUUGGGUUUGGGCCAGGUUGGAUCGUACUUCCUCUUCUGUCCUGGUAGGCCCCACCUCUUAAAUAGAAAAUUACUCUGUUUUCUUUGUUUACAAAGCAAGCUUUCCUUAUCCCUUUGCUCAGGCAAUGGACGGAGUCCUCUAGCUGCUACCGCUGCUAUCUAAAAAAUUUCAGCAAAAUCAGAUCCAUAGGAGAUGGAUCCAUAGGAGAUGUGAUUGGUAAAAGCACAAGCUUGGUAAAAGAACAAGCUUGAGGUAAUAGCUAGGAAAUUUAGUGCCUAAGGCCACAUUUAUCUUGACCAAGGCAGCAUGCUUAGAAGUAGUCCAUUGUGUGUCUGAAUCUAGCUAGUAUAUUGUGGCUGUGCUAUAUACUGCAAUGGACAAUGUAAACAUAUUUGAUCCAUCAGUAUAACGUUGCUGAAUGAAUAUGAUAUUUCAGAAAAUAUUUUGGUCAUACAGAACAUAGCGACACACACCGUUGAAGAAUGGCUAGUUUUGAGGGGUUACGGAACAGUACACUAAUAUGGGUUUUGGGCUUGGGCUGGACCGUGGGUCAUGGGGCAGUCUUAAUUAGGAACCACGAGCAUCCCUAAUGUACGAUCGAACCGUCAUACGUUUAUUGGACGAGAAAAGCAUCCCUAAUGUACGAUCGAACCGUCAUACGUUUAUUGGACGAGAAAUGUCGUAUGUGAAGCAUUUUCGAUUAAAUAUUCAUAUAUGCUGGCUACAUCAUUAUGCAAAAGAAAGACUGAAAUAACAAUGUGAAGGGAUUUUUCAUCUUGGUGAAAGUGGCUGCACUUUAUCUCUUAGAUUGUUAUCUCGGAUAGUUUUACUCAAUAUUGAAAUUGUUAUAUAUGUCAGACAUCAUUUCUAGCAUGCGUACGCACUGGAAAUGUGAAAAAAAAAAUCUUGACGCAUGAGAGUAGAGAUGCAUUGUGAAAAUAAGCUUUAGAAGAUUAGAAGAUAUGUAGUGCAGUAACCUUAUUUGCACUAGAGUUUUCCUUCUCUUGUUGCACAUUUUCACCACGGAUACAAGUAUGUUUGUUCUGUGACAGAAGAUAUAUCAUAAGAUUUGGAAGAAUUGCAAUAAACAUUCCUACCAUUAGACGAGUAAGUAACAAUUAAUUGUUGCUCAACCAUAUUGGACUCCAAGUAAAGAUAAACAAUUUCUCUUUUUGAAACAGAUUCAGAGUUGAGAAUAAAUAAGCAACAACAGCUACGCAAUGAGUAUGUAGUGUUUUAUAUCUGAUUUCAUUGGUGUAUCAUCAUAAAAGUUUGUACGGUAAUCUUCUCAAGAUUCUCGACAUUGGUAUAAGUUUAAAAAGGGAAGGAGUUAGUAACCUUAUUUGCACUAGUGUUUUCUCACUCUUGCUGAACAUUUUCAUCAUGGACCAAAGUUUCAUCGUUCUGUGACAAAAGAUAUACUAUCAGAUUCGUGAGAACAAUAAUAAAAAAUCGCAGUNCCAUUUUGGCGGAUAUGCAUUUCAUGGAAAUAUAUUAACAUUGAUCUGAGGUGAAAGACUAUCAGUCAUAAUAAUUAACAUUUUGCUUAUCGAACGUACCAUCAUUCUCGUAUCAUUCCAUCAUGCUGAAGUCAUUUGUAAUUCAUGAUAAGUUCUUCCAAGUGGAUGAUAUUUUUGGGGCUAAUCACUCAGCCAUGGAAUCUUCUGCUGUGGCGCAAUGGUAAGAACAUGUUAUAUUGAACAAAGAUUGCUCGCUUCUGACAGGAAAAGAAUUGAUUUUAUUUGUAUCUCUCUUUUUAAUAGGUGGUGAAUAGGGGGGCUUCUCAGGGCCAUUGCAUUUGUGUCCGUUAGAUCUGGUGCUACCUCUGAUUUCAGCCGUCCAUUUUUUUCACCGUGUGAGAUAAAACUCCAGUCCACGAGUGGUAAAAAACUCUAGCCGCCGCUCGGGCCCCUCCUUUCACGCUCGUUUCCAUCGCUCCACCGCCACCAUUCUUCUCCUCCCUCGUCCUCUUCCCUGGUAGGCAGGCGUUGCUGCUGCCUCGUCCCUCUGCUCCUUCCUGUCUGUCAGCCUCCGUCGUGCCAUCCCACGUCGUCAUUACUGGUAACUAAUGAUGACAAGAUGUUUGCUUAAUAAUGCACAUGAAAAGAUUUCUUUUUCAACAUCCAUUGCCAUAACAUCUGAAUAACUGAAUAGGUAGAUGUCGAAAGAGAUGCAAUCUUUCAUCAAUACACAAAUGUGCUGCUGUUUUCUUGAUUGCUAUUAAUUGAUUGUAUCUAAUAUAGUUGCAUGACGUUAUGCAAAAAAGAAUCAGAAGUAGCUCUGAGUCUUUCUGUACGAUUACAUUUUAUGUUAGCACCUCUUGCUUUAAAAAAAUCAUUAGCACCUCCUGUUAUUUUGAUUCGUUCGCACCUUUCUUUCACUAGUAAGUAUCUUCUGCUGCUCUAGGAUUAUGACCAGUGGUUAUCUAUCUAUGAUACAAGAUAGAGUCAAAAGGGAGAACAGGGUAUUCUCUGAUACAAGUUCAUGGCACCUUGGAUUGGAUCCAUAUGGUGCAUACCAGGAACAAAAACUUCUUCUGGUGAAAGAAAGAUUCAAGUGGAGGUACAAUUAGGUAUUUAGCUGCAGAGGUGCGUUUAUGUAAUUAAUUGGGUAUGAACCAUUUCUCUUUCACAUUUCACACAUCUUAUAACACCUUAUAUGGUUCCAUUAUGUAGGUUGGCUCCUCAAGGUGAUGCAAGGUUCUCCCUUCCAUUGGGGGGUUAGCUGCCAGUGCUCACUAAUUUUCUCUGCCACAGGUAUGUAAAAUUGUUUCAUUCUUUUGGGUACCGUAGCUAAGUUUUCACACCAACUUUGCUAUGUAACUCCUGCUACUGAUGUCUUUCUAGCAUUAGACACAAUUUGUAUUUUUCGAAAGAUCUCCAGUUCUGAUUUAUUUACAUGCCAGGUUGAAUUGCACUUUGUCUGUUGGUUGGGCUUAAUACAUGGCAAGACCAACUCAUUUUAUUUUGUUAGAAACAUAACUUUGUUUAAGGCAUUAUGUUUUUACAACUAUAAAGCGUGUCGGCAAUUUUGUAUUUACAUCACGUUCCUUUUUGGUGACAUUAACUGCAAGUCAUUUAGGGCCUGUUCUGAACCCCUCCAGCUUCACAAAACUUCACAUAUCCGGCUUCUCAAAGUAGCUUCUCACUCCACCUGGCGAAUCCCAUCCGUUCUGGACCGAGCGCAACUUCUCCUAUCGCCAGAUUCGGCUGGCCUCCCAGCCGCGGAGACAAUUGGUUUGUUCAGCACCACUUUCCGCCCGCUGGAACCAGCCCAGUCGGGGAUGUUGAUCCUGGCUCGGGUGUCAAUGGCUUCGUACACGCAAUGGGUUUGGGUUUGGGCCAGGUUGGAUCGUACUUCCUCUUCUGUCCUGGUAGGCCCCACCUCUUAAAUAGAAAAUUACUCUGUUUUCUUUGUUUACAAAGCAAGCUUUCCUUAUCCCUUUGCUCAGGCAAUGGACGGAGUCCUCUAGCUGCUACCGCUGCUAUCUAAAAAAUUUCAGCAAAAUCAGAUCCAUAGGAGAUGG
rnacentral:lncRNA from 1 species